UACGAAGGGGGCUAGCGUUACUCGGAUUGACUGGGCGUAAAGGGCGCGUAGGCGGCUUGUACAGUCAGACGUGAAAUUCCUGGGCUCAACCUGGGGGCUGCGUUUGAUACGUGCGGGCUUGAGUUCGGAAGAGGGUCGUGGAAUUCCCAGUGUAGAGGUGAAAUUCGUAGAUAUCGGGAGGAACACCAGUGGCGAAGGCGGUUGCCUGGGGCUUUGCUGACGCUGAUGCGCGAAAGCGUGGGGAGCGAUCCGG
rnacentral:rRNA from 1 species